GACGAACGCUGGCGGCGUGCUUAACACAUGCAAGUCGAGCGGUAAGGCCCUUUCGGGGGUACACGAGCGGCGAACGGGUGAGUAACACGUGGGCGACCUGCCCUCAGCUCUGGGAUAAGCCUGGGAAACUGGGUCUAAUACCGGAUAUGACCACAUGUCGCAUGGUGUGUGGUGGAAAGUUUUUUCGGCUGGGGAUGGGCCCGCGGCCUAUCAGCUUGUUGGUGGGGUGAUGGCCUACCAAGGCGACGACGGGUAGCCGGCCUGAGAGGGCGACCGGCCACACUGGGACUGAGAUACGGCCCAGACUCCUACGGGAGGCAGCAGUGGGGAAUAUUGCGCAAUGGGCGGAAGCCUGACGCAGCGACGCCGCGUGGGGGAUGACGGCC
rnacentral:rRNA from 1 species